AAUUCUGAAGUGGUUGGAGUAAUGUGGAAGCGCUACCUUAGACUUCACAGAGGAAAUUGAACGUUUCUCUACUGAAGUUAAGAAUGAUCUUCAGUGAAGCAGGAAAAAAUAAAUUUCCAGGGCUGUCGAUGGGAAAUCUACACCUGAGAGUAAGCCUGCUUCUAACUCAUCCCCUUCCUGAUUUAGGUCCUAGUCAAAUCAAGUGUUGAUGGUGUGAUUCAAGUGAAAGAAGUAAGCAAUAUUCUUCCACAAAUUGCAUCUUGAAAUGGAAACUGGUCCAACCAUAGAACAAAUUGCCAAGAGGAACUGCAUCUUCAGAAAAAGUGGCCGUGGAAAUAUAUAAAAUCAGGAGGAUACUUCUCCAAGCCAACUCCACAGAAAUUUGCACCAUGACAACUAUCAGCAACUGAGGAUCAGUCUGAAUGUGGCACAAUUUCACUUUUAAUGUGGAAUAUUUAACUUGUUGUUUAGCGAAAUGAACUUUGUUAGGUUUAUUGAGUGCAUAUCAAAUAAUAAAAGAUUCAGGCUUGUGGUGGGUCAGUCUGACUAUUUCAUGUAUUCUGAAAUCUAAUGCAACCAGUAAUUUUCCACAAAUAGGAAAGUAGCCCAGGCACAUGAACAGCAAGCUAGUUAGAUUCUCUUGAUUACCAUUUUAGUGUCCUGAGAUUCCAUUCUGACUCCCAGAAUAAAAUCAUCAAAUCCUUCUGAUGGAGUGAUUGAUUGAUUGAUUGAAAAACAAG